GCGGUCGUGGUGGAAUUGGCAGACACGCUGGAUUUAGGUUCCAGUGACGCAAGUCGUGCAGGUUCAAGUCCUGUCGACCGCA
rnacentral:tRNA from 1 species